rnacentral:rRNA from 1 species
GGUUAACGCUGGCGGCGUGCCUAACACAUGCAAGUCGAACGGUUCUAAGCGCGAGCUUAGGAUAGUGGCGAACGGGUGAGUAAAAGGUAGGAAUCUACCCCUUGGACGGAGAUAGCUACUGGAAACGGUAGGUAAACUUCGAUAAGCCCGAGAGGGGAAAGUGGUGAGACAGCCGAGGGAUGAGCCUACUCUCCAUCAGGUAGUUGGUGAGAUAAAAGCUUACCAAGCCGAUGACGGAUAACCGGUGUGAGAGCAUGAACGGUCACAAGGGCACUGAGAGACGGGCCCUACUCCUACGGGAGGCAGCAGUGGGGAAUCUUCCGCAAUGGGCGCAAGCCUGACGGAGCAACGCCGCGUGGGUGAAGAAGGCCUUCGGGUUGUAAAGCCCUGUCUUAUGGGAAGAAGUCAGUGACGGUACCAUAGGAGGAAGCCACGGCUAACUACGUG